rnacentral:lncRNA from 1 species
GUUCUCACACCUAGAUUGCAUAACCAAGAAAGUGAGUACAAUGUAAAAGGGGCUGCUAUUAUGUGUUCAGGUUCAGAGGGAGCUCAAGGGUCCCAAAGAUAGACUUACACAAGAGGGGCAGAACCUAAUCAUCUAAGAGUGCAUGUGAGAGUGCUGGACAUAGACACACAGGAGUUGAGUUGGAAAAUAAUUUUAGAAACAACAUGUUUGAAGUGAGUUUGUAAAACAACAGAAGGAUUUCCUAAUAAAGACAAUUUUAAAAAUAAAAAGAGACUAGGAGUGACAAUAACACACAGAACAAAUUCAAAGAGGAGUACAUGCUUCAGCAGUUAAAAACAGGGGAGUAAGGGGUUGGGGUCAUAGAGGAUAUUUGAUUGUAAACACAUAGUUCCAUCAUAGGUCUUAAGACUAGUCAGUCAUGCACAACAAUAGUUUAUACGUGCACAAUCACAAACUGGUCAGAGAGAACAUAAAAACAUUAAAGGGAUAGGGACUUGGGAUUCAGAGGAUGGUGGGCACACAAUAGGUGACUAAGAAAGUAUGACUUGAAACACACAUAGGGUAGUACAUUAAUCUAAAAGGGAAGGGAGACAUUACAACGUGCUGGUAAUGUAAACUAACUGUAGGUUUCACAAUAGAACCACAAGAUAAAGUGGACCAAGAAUGAGAGAGACUGAAUAAUAGAGAAGAAUGUUGUUGUUGAAGCUUUAAAAUCAAACUUGGACAUAGCAGUUAUAGAAGCAAAGUGAAGAAAGAAAAGAACCGCAAAGUCCCACAGUCUAGCCAUGGCUUUCAGCUGGCUAGACAAAGCAGUAGCACAAGAAGUACGAAAAGAAAAGAGAGUGUGAAUUUGUAUAUGUGAGCUCUUGAACUACUUGUUCCAUUAUUGAAGAGAGGGUUGGGUAUUUAUAGCUUUGAAAAAAACUAAAAAAUAAGGUUACAAUUAAAGGUUUAAUCCAAAUAUGGAAAUAAUCACAAUUAGAAUCCCAUUAACGUAAGUACUUCCCUUUAAUCAAGAAAUUGCUACUUAAUAGAUGCUAACAGGGAUAAUUAUGGAAAGAAAAUCAAUUUGAGGAAGAUUGAUUUCUGACCAUAUAAGGAAUAGUAAAGGUAUAGAGUAAAUAAUUGGGUCUAAGUGCAAAUUAUACUUAAUUUGGGGAAAGGAUUCAGGAGAGUAAAAAAUUACAGCAAAUAAAGGAAGGGAAUCAAUCAACUUAAACAAAUAAGUAAAAAUUAGGGUUUAUAAGAAUACCUUGCAAUCACACCAUAACUUAAGGAAAUCAAGAUCAAUCAAGAAGAGGUCAUGAUUCUGCAUUUCGACAUAUACAUAGAAAAAAAUGAAUAGGAGUAUCAGACAUGCAAGGCCAAACACAUUGGAAAAAGAAGCAACUAGAUAAAUAGUAACAUGAGUAUGCCAGGACUCAGCAGUAAAGGACCUACUCGAAGCAUGAUAGUCAACAAAAUCAAGUAGUCACAUCUAAAAAAAUGAAGGAAACUGUCUAAAACAAAGCAACAGGAAGAGGAGAUCAGACCAACACACGGAAAUAAGUACAGGAAGUCAUCAAAAUCUCAAAGUAACAAGUGAGAAAAGUUGUAAACAUAAAGAACUCAGUCGAAACACGACAGUUUUAGAACCCUGGAAUAAACCAAAGAUAUUUAGGGUUUUCAACAUGAUGAAUUAGGUAGAAGAAAAGCAUAAAAAAUCGUCUGAACAUAGUAAAUUCAUAAAAAAACACUAAAAAUUGGAGAAGAGAUCUUUUAAAAGUGGUUUAAAAGAACCUAAUUGCUUAAGACGAAAACUCACUCUGAAAAAUCUAAAAACCUUUAAGGAAAACCCUUAACUGGUUCAUAGCAUAUAUAAAUCUAAGACAGAUCUAAAAGAAAAUCGGAAAGCCUUUAAAGUUAGGUUUCGGGGAACCCAGAAAGAUGAGAAAGCCUUUGAAAAAUUACCGAUUUAAUCGAAAAGGUCAAGGAUCUAAAUGAAACAGUUGUGGAUGGCCUGAAAAAGACCAUAGAUAGAUGUUGAGGAAGGUCUGGACUAGAUUUCUAUGAGAUCUUUCCAUAAAAUAAUGAAAAAAGACAACCAGUAGACAUAGGAGACAAAUAUACAUGUCAAACAGCCAUGGGAGUUCACAGAAUCAAAGGGGAUUGGGGUUAGUUUGGGUGGCGACGGCUACGGUUGGUUGUCGAUUUCAGAGAGAAUUUGAGAGGAGAGGGGAUUCAAGGGCGACGGAU